UUAAAUUGAAGAGUUUGAUCAUGGCUCAGAUUGAACGCUGGCGGCAGGCCUAACACAUGCAAGUCGAACGGUAACAGGAAGAAGCUUGCUUCUUUGCUGACGAGUGGCGGACGGGUGAGUAAUGUCUGGGAAACUGCCUGAUGGAGGGGGA
rnacentral:rRNA from 1 species